ACAGCAGUAGCCGCGGGAAUACGUAGGUGGCAAGCGUUGUCCGGAAUUAUUGGGCGUAAAGGGCUCGCAGGCGGUUUCUUCAGUCUGAUGUGAAAGCCCCCGGCUCAACCGGGGAGGGUCAUUGGAAACUGGGAAACUUGAGUGCAGAAGAGGAGAGUGGAAUUCCACGUGUAGCGGUGAAAUGCGUAGAGAUGUGGAGGAACACCAGUGGCGAAGGCGACUCUCUGGUCUGUAACUGACGCUGAGGAGCGAAAGCGUGGGGAGCGAACAGGAUUAGAUACCCCUGUAGUCCCUGUCUCUUAUAC
rnacentral:rRNA from 1 species